AUUGGUUAAAUAGGCCUGCAAUAAAGUGUCGAGGUCUCUCUCGGUUGUCGGAAGUAAUCUGCAACAUCUUAUCUAUUCCUUAGAAGAAAACUAAACUUUAAAGUGACGACGAGGAAAAAUUUAAGUUGAAACGCGUGUUAAGUGUAGUGAGAUUUAUGCAUCGGUGUUGAAAUUCGGUUUUAUAAAGUUUUGCGGGCGUCCCGCUGGUGGUUCGAUUGCUCAGGUUUAACCGAGAAGGGAUUGUAGGGAAGAAUCCCCAGGCAAGUGGAGGCCGGUCUUGAGCGACGCCAUUUCGCACCAUCUUGCAGUACAUUGUGCAUUGUUGAAUCGGUGAUUCUGUAUCUGCAAUCCGGUGCUACUACUGUACAAUACGUUGGUGAAACAAAAAGCGAUAGAUAUCAGGAGUGAUAAUAGCGGAGACGGCGGAGCUUCGGGGUGGUUUGGAGAUCGACAUUCGGGUGGAAAGGCUCGGUUACUGGCGGUGGCGUGGCUUUGGUGCAGUAUCGGUUGAAUUGUGGUCUUGGUUGAAGAUUGGACUUGACGACGGCGCAUAAGUGGAAAAAUUUGGACGUUGACUUUUGCAGGACCAAGUGCAGGACUCAGAUCGCAAUAGCGUCCAAUGUGAUCUCGGCUCACAGGGGGCAGAUCAAAAUGCUUAAUAAGCCCGAACCAAGGCGCAAUGUGGCGCUUCGGAGUGUAGCAGGAGUUUCGCGGAGGACAACAAAGAGGCGCAUCGAGAGUUCGGAUGAAGAUGAUCCAAUUUCAAGUACUUCCGUUCUACGAGUUCCAGUUCCUCCUCCAGCUAGAAACGAAUUACACCCAGAAGCACUGCAAUCUACAAGUACGCCAAAUGUUGUUGAGUAUGUUCCCCCUAUCUGUCAGGAGGUCAUAGAGCUACGGCGCUCGAGAAGAGUUAAGAAAAAGAAGAUCGAUACAGAUUAUGUAUACAGUAAAUAAAAAAAGGAUAAUGUUCUUUUCGAAUUUAAAGUAUAAAGAAGUAAAGUUUAAUGAUUUUUUUUUGAAUUAGAAUUCCGUUUUAUUUUGUGAUUCGUGAAUUUCAACAUAAGGAAGGAGGAAUUGUAAGAACAUGAUUUCUUAGUUGUUAAUGUUAGUCGUGUUUGAGGUUGCUAUAAUAAUAAACUGUCAAAAUAUAGACUGUCAGAAUUGAAGGGCUACCAACUAUUAUAAUCAUAUGUAAACAGAUGCAUGUAUUGUUCACGAUUGGUUAAAUAGGCCUGCAAUAAAGUGUCGAGGUCUCUCUCGGUUGUCGGAAG